UACGUAGGGGGCAAGCGUUGUCCGGAAUCAUUGGGCGUAAAGCGUGCGCAGGCGGUUAUGUAAGACAGUUGUGAAAUCCCCGGGCUCAACCUGGGAACUGCAUCUGUGACUGCAUAGCUAGAGUACGGUAGAGGGGGAUGGAAUUCCGCGUGUAGCAGUGAAAUGCGUAGAUAUGCGGAGGAACACCGAUGGCGAAGGCAAUCCCCUGGACCUGUACUGACGCUCAUGCACGAAAGCGUGGGGAGCAAACAGG
rnacentral:rRNA from 1 species